GCACAUGUAAGUGUUAAAUUAUUUACGAUCUUUUUCUAUCCUAUAGUAACAGUACUCAAAUGUAUAUAUAUCUUUGAGACUUUAAGUGUAAUCCUUCAUGUUAGUUUUUAUAUAGCCCGGCGAAAUAAAAAGUUACUCACUGGAUUUCCUAAAUUAGUAUCAUGCCUUUAUUCAGCAAUCAAUUUGUCUGACAGCCAGUUUCAUUAACUGUGGUUCUACCAAGACGUUUAACUGGUGACCUUUUGGUAGCAUGGAUGUACGGGGCAAUAAUUGGAGAUACUUUUACAAUACUAUCAUCCCAGACUAUGACAGGGUUGCCUAGCAACGGAUUUUGACGAAAAUCAAUACCGGUUGCAGAGAAGCUCAAGGUUCGCAUCAAUUUUAUUGGCACAAAACUUCGCUUUUUGGACCAGUACAGACUCGAACAAGUCUAGAC